AUGUUGGUGCAAAUGGCAUUGUUUUGUUCUUUUUUAUGGCUGACUAGUUGCCAGCAAAUUUGGAAAACUCAGCAGUGGCCACAGGACUGGAAAAGGUCAGUUUUCAUUCCAAUUCCAAAGAAAGGCAAAGAAUGCUCAAACUACUGCACAAUUGCACUCAUCUCACACGCUAGUAAAGUAAUGCUCAAAAUUCUCCAAGCCAGGCUUCAGCAAUACGUGAACCGUGAACUUCCUGAUGUUCAAGCUGGUUUUAGAAAAGGCAGAGGAACCAGAGAUCAAAUUGCCAGCAUCCGCUGGAUCAUGGAAAAAGCAAGAGGGUUCCAGAAAAGCAUCUAUUUCUGCUUUAUUGACUAUGCCAAAGCCUUUGACUGUGUGGAUCACAACAAACUGUGGAAAAUUCUUGAAGAGAUGAGAAUACCAGACCACCUGACCUGCCUCUUGAGAAAUCUGUAUGCAGGUCAGGAAGCAACAAUUAGAACUGGACAUGGAACAACAGACUGGUUCCAAAUAGGAAAAGGAGUACAUCAAGGCUGUAUAUUGUCUCCCUGCUUAUUUAACUUCUAUGCAGAGUGCAUCAUGAGAAACGCUGGACUGGAAGAAACACAAGCUGGAAUCAAGAUUGCCGGGAGAAAUAUCACUAACCUCAGAUAUGCAGAGGACACCACCCUUAUGGCAGAAAGUGAAGAGCAGCUAAAAAGCCUCUUGAUGAAAGUGAAAGAGGAGAGUGAAAAAGUUGGCUUAAAGCUCAACAUUCAGAAAACGAAGAUCAUGGCAUCUGGUCCCAUCACUUCAUGGGAAAUAGAUGGGGAAACAGUGGAAACAGUGUCAGACUGUAUUUUGGGGGGCUCCAAAAUCACUGCAGAUGGUGACUGCAGCCAUGAAAUUAAAAGACGCUUACUCCUUGGAAGAAAAGUUAUGACCAACCUAGACAGCAUACUCAAAAGCAGAGACAUUACUUUGCCGACUAAGGUCCGUCUAGUCAAGGCUAUGGUUUUUCCAGUGGUCGUGUAA
rnacentral:lncRNA from 1 species